UGCAUCGGCGGGGAAUCGAACAAUGCGCGUGGCAGGCGAGCAUUCUAACCACUGAACCACCGAUGC